rnacentral:misc_RNA from 1 species
GGAAAACCGCCGUUCAGAAGCAAUGUGGCAGAUUUUCUUUGUCGAAACGCCGUUCAGAAGAGAUGAGAUGAACGAUCUCUGUGAUCCAGAGACCGAGAGGAAGUUUUUAUAUUAACCAAUGCUAGAGGAGGGGCGGCAGCAGCAGCUUCCCUGGAGUCCAAUAGAAAGAAAAUGCCUCUCUCUUCUUCAAAGAACAAAGACAAGGGAAACCCUCCUGCAAAUCCACGCUCUUAUGCUUCGGAACGCCAUUGAAACCAACGUUAACAUUCUCACAAAAUUCAUCACUACCUCUGCCUCUCUUGCUCUUAUAGCUUGCAUGCCUGAACCACUCGCAACUAUCCGCCAUGCUCGCCUGAUGUUUGAUAGUCGGCCCCACAAAGACGAUACCUUCCUUUGCAAUUCCAUGAUCAAAGCCCAUGUGGGUAUGCUCCAAUUUGCUGAGUCUUUCACUCUUUAUAAGGAUCUUAGGAGGGGCACAGGUUUCCUCCCCGAUAAUUUCACAUUUACUGUGUUGGCCAAGUCUUGUGGUUUGAGUAUGGCCGUUUGGGAAGGUUUAGAGAUGCAUGGUCAUGUUGUAAAGAUUGGGUUUUGUUUAGAUUUGUAUGUUUCAACAGCAUUGGUUGACAUGUAUGCAAGGUUAGGGGAGUUGGGUAUGGCUAGAAAACUGUUUGAUGAAAUGAGUGAGAGAAAUCUGGUGUCAUGGACAGCUCUCAUUGGUGGUUACGUUAGGUCCGGAGAUAUGGGCAGUGCAAGGGUGCUUUUUGAUCAGAUGCCUACCAAAGAUUCUGCAGCAUAUAAUGCAAUGCUCGACGGUUAUGUUAAAGUGGGAGAUAUGGACUCGGCUCGAAGUUUGUUUAAUAAGAUGCCGGAUAGGAAUGUGAUCUCUUGGACCAGUAUGAUAUAUGGAUAUUGCAAUAGUAGUAAUGUUUUAUCUGCUAGAUCUCUAUUUGAUGUCAUGCCAGAGAAGAACCUUUUUUCUUGGAAUGCAAUGAUUAGCGGAUAUUCUCGAAAUAAACAACCCCAUGAAGCAUUGAGAUUGUUUCAUGAAAUGCAGACAAGCACGUCAUUUGAACCAGAUAAAGUGACAAUCGUAAGCAUCCUGCCAGCUAUAGCUGAUUUGGGUGCUCUGGAAUUGGGAGGUUGGGUUCAUCAGUUUGCUUGCAUGAAGAAAAUUGAUAGAGCAACCAAAGUCUCGACUGCUCUUGUCCAUAUGUAUGCAAAAUGUGGUGAAAUUUUUAAAGCAAGAAGAGUUUUUGACAAUAUGCCUAAGAAGGAACAAGCUUCUUGGAAUGCUUUGAUAAAUGGAUAUGCAGUUAAUGGGUCUGGUGAUGAAGCACUGAAAGCAUUUUUGGAGAUGCAACGUGAAGGGAUUAAACCAAAUGAUAUAACCAUGAUUGGUGUUUUGUCUGCAUGUAACCAUGGUGGUCUGAUAGAGGAAGGGAAGAGAUGGUUUAAAGCCAUGAAUGAGUUUGGGCUGACACCAAAAAUUGAGCAUUAUGGAUGUAUGGUUGAUUUAUUGGGGAGGGCAGGGCUCUUGGAGGAAGCUGACAAGUUGAUCAAGAGUAUGCCUUAUGAGGCCAAUGAAAUAAUUCUUAGCUCUUUCCUAUUUGCUUGUGCAAAUUCUAAGGAUGUUAUGAGGGCUCAGAAAGUAUUAAAUGAGGCUCUUAAUAUGGAGCCAUUGAAUGAUGGAAAUUAUGUUAUAUUGAGGAACUUGUGUGCCAUGCAGCAACGAUGGAGAGACGUAGAAGAAAUUAAGCAAUUGAUGAGAAGAAAUGGGGCAAAGAAAGAGGCAGGUAGCAGUGCUAUAGAGGUUGAUGGUAGAGUUUCAGAGUUCAUAGCUGGGGGUACAGAACACCCACAAUGGGAUUCAAUACAAUCAGUCCUGGGGCGGCUGUUCAUGCAAAUGAAGGACAAAGGGAGAAAAAGGAAGGGUGGUUGGACUUGGCGCUUGUUCUCCCUUUACAAGCUUCUCGUGUUCAUGCCCCCAGGCCAGGCGUCAAUCCCCUUAGCUGAGAUUUCUGUUAACUCCCAAGUCCCAGGAAUAUCUCUCAACUUAUAAAUCCUAGUGCUGGCCUUCCAGAAGCCUUCAAGCAGAAAUGGGUCUUCUUCCAACCUCCUUUAUUAUAAUAUUCUUCACUUUCAGUCUCAUCUCUUUCGCACACUCUGUUCCCUUCAUAGUUUUGCACGGUAUUGGUGAUAAAUGCACUAAUCGGGGGAUCACUCGCUUCACUGAGCUCUUAAGCAAUUGGUCUGGUGCUCCAGGAUAUUGCCUGUAUGCUAUAACCUCUGGCAUCAUUAUGUUAAUCACAAUUGACGACCAUUAAAUUUAAUUUAUCUAAUUGCUGACCUACCCAAAGUCACAGUUACAUAAGCUAGCCAUCAACUACACUUUCUAUCUGUUUGUCGGCCAUGAGGACACAGUUCAUAGGACGCUAGCAUGGUGGUGAUGCAGGAGCUAAGGUUGCUUCUGUAUAACAGUAUAUUGCACAAGUUAUGUGGCUUGUACUUAGGCUCUAUUUGGAAUUGUGGUUUCACCACUUUUCCAUUUUUUUUUUUCUGCUUCUUUUGGAUAGGAAGCGGAAUUGUUUUUUCACUUUUCUUUAGGAAAAGCAUUAAAUUGAUAAUUGAUACUAUUAUAAAAAGUGGAUCAAACCUGUGUAAGUGUUCAAAAUAGCCUGAAACCACAUUGCCAAAUGCACAUGUGGUGAUUUUGUAGUAUAGAUGGACGCCUUUGCCCGCCGCCCCCGCUCCCCCCAACAACCACAAGGUUUUUGAGGCCACUUAAGAUGCGAAAUUUUUUUUAGCUAGUUCUUGAGCUGUCCUGACUUAUCACAGAGUUAAUCUUUUUACAACAACAUGGUGUAUCAGGAAGGUAAACCAUGUGCUGUCUGUGUGCUCACUUGUGCAUGUACAUGUGCUUGUAAUAAUGUGUUCUGACUUUUCCUUUGCAUCUGUGCACCUGGAAUUAUGUUUUUCUGAUCAAGCUUAUACCCAAGGCAGAAUCCAAAGUUUGCAUGUUACCCACAUCCUGUAUGCUGUCAUUUGUUUUUCAUUUACUUCCUGCAGAGAGAUUGGAGAUGGAUCAUGGGACUCUUGGACUAUACCCCUUCAUGAACAGACGGCAACUGCUUGUGAGAAGGUGGUAAAGCUGUUAGGAAACCUGUUUUAAUGUUGCUAUGUUGUUUUGCUUCUUCAAGUUUGAUUUGUCUUCGAACAAGAUUUCUCUUUCAAUUUACAGGUGAAGAGUAUGAGUGAGCUCGCCAAUGGUUACAACAUUGUUGGGCUUUCUCAGGGGAACAUGCUUGGUCGAGGAAUUAUUGAAUUUUGUGAAGGAGGACCUGCUGUUAAGAAUUUGAUUUCAUUGGCAGGUCCCCAUGCUGGUACCGCUUCAGUUCCAUUCUGUGGAGUAAGUGCUGGUUUCUUAAUCCUACUCAAUUCAGCGAUCCAUUUAAUUUAUUUUGGUUUUAAAUAAAGCCUACUAGCUAAACAGGAACCCAGAAAUGUUUGUUUGGAUCUGUUGUCUUCUGUGCUGUCUAGUUUGAAAUGUACUGUUUUUGCAGUCUGGCCUUGUAUGCAUUCUUGUGGAUGCUUUAAUUCGGUUAGAGAUCUACAGCAGCUAUGUCCAGGUAUAAUUAUAAAUUACUUUUGAACCUUGAUAUAUUGAAAUGGGAAGUGAAGGGCAAAAUUUAUAUCAUGUCAACAACAAUUGCCUUGGAAAAAUCACAUGCUUUGGUACUUCUGAUUUGACUUCAUUCUUACCAUAGACAGAUGACUUCAUUGUUCCCUUGGCCCUUGAUUAUUCUAACACCUUUGCAUUGAAUUCAUGUUGAAUUGCUUAUCUGUGAUGAAAUUGCAGGAACAUUUGGCUCCUAGUGGCUACCUCAAAAUCCCAACUGUGAGUCUAUCACUUAAUUGUGCUGAUCUACUGCUGGUUCUCUUCUUAAUUUUUUGACUUUCAUUCUUCAGUAGACUUCAAUCCCACCAUCGCCUGGGAAAAAGGAAAAUAUUAAAGACAAAAAUGAAAAGAAAAGGGAUUACUGUCUCAGAUUACAAGUGGUUACUUCUCUACAAUUUGUUUUGUAUUAUCAUUUGGGUUUCUGGAUCAAGAUGCCAAUUCUUUUGCAAUUCCCAUAGCAUGUUUUGAUUAUUUUCACUUGAAUUUAUUUUCUUAAACCAUAUUUUAAAAAUGAGAAUUAUUUCUUUCUGCAGGACAUUGCUGACUAUCUGAAAGGGUGCAAGUUUCUUCCCAAACUUAACAAUGAAAUCACAAAAAAUUCUACUUACAAGGAACGUUUUGCCAGCUUAGAGAAUUUGGUUUUAAUCAUGUUUGAGCAGGAUACAGUUUUGAUACCAAAGGAAACCUCCUGGUUUGGAUAUUAUCCAGAUGGGGCCUUUACUCCUGUUCUGCCUGCACAAGAGACUAACCUCUACACUGAAGACUGGAUUGGGUUUAAAACACUGGAUGAAGCGGGAAAAGUUAAAUUCAUUAAUGUCUCUGGGAAUCACCUUGAAAUCUCGCGAAAUGAUAUGAAGAAGUAUAUAGUACCCUAUUUGGAGGGCCAAGCAUCAUACCAGCAGAUAAAAACGGAACCUUCAUCUUGUAGAUGGGUUUCAUCAAUCAGGAACUUCUUUAUUGAACUAUUUGGGCUUACUGAGGAUCAAGCUUUGCUGCAUAUUCUGUAAGCACCUUCAUUUGCUCAAGAAUUAAUUGUUUUGGGAGAGGAGGGGAAUGGAGAAAUUAUACCUUUCAUUGUUCGUUCAUAAUUUCCAGUAGAGAAACAAAAAAGUCCUGUAUAUCCCAUCUGAUGGUUUUAUGAUGUAUGCCUCCGCUUCCAAACAAUGCAAUUGAUGCUAUGAUCUAUGGCAAGUUAUUAGCUAAACUCAUGAACUGUAGUUGUAUGCGUACAAUGAAAUGUUACAGUUGAGUUGAUUUCUGAACAUUUGUUGUGACAAGAGACUGGCUAGCUGUGUUGGGUUACUACCCACAAUAUUCAAAAGAUGAAAUAAGUGUUAUCAGAAGAUCGUACAGAAAUAAAAUGCCAAUGUGGUCCUAUUGCUGACCUCAACUUUUG